rnacentral:rRNA from 1 species
AAUAGAUACCCAGGUAGUCCACGCCGUAAACGAUGAGUGCUAAGUGUUAGAGGGGUCACACCCUUUAGUGCUGUAGCUAACGCGAUAAGCACUCCGCCUGGGGAGUACGGCCGCAAGGCUGAAACUCAAAGGAAUUGACGGGGGCCCGCACAAGCGGUGGAGCAUGUGGUUUAAUUCGAAGCAACGCGAAGAACCUUACCAGGUCUUGACAUCCCCUGACAACCCAAGAGAUUGGGCGUUCCCCCUUCGGGGGGACAGGGUGACAGGUGGUGCAUGGUUGUCGUCAGCUCGUGUCGUGAGAUGUUGGGUUAAGUCCCGNAACGAGCGCAACCCUUGCCUCUAGUUGUCCAGCAUUCAGUUGGGUCGACUCUAGAGGGACGUGCCGGCUAAAAGUCGGAGGAAGGUGGGGAGUGACGUCAAAUCAUCAUGCCCCUUACUGACCUGGGCGUACACACGUGCUACAAUGGGCGGUACAAAGGGCUGCGAACCCGCGAGGGGAGCGAAUCCCAAAAAGCCGCUCUCAGUUCGGAUUGCAGG